UCGUCAUAUGUCAAUUGCGCAUAGUUUGUCAUUCAUCAAAACCUACAAAUAUGAACACACGUUUAGUAUAGUGCCUUGAGAACGUGUUUCAACAUUAAUCCGGGAGAACGAACGUCCAAUUUUUGUAAUCAGGUGAUGUCGUUAUUGCCAAGAACAACCGAGUGCUACCGAAAGGGACGCCAGAAGGCUGAAUUUGCACAAAUGGCCAUCUUUGGCUUUUUGUUUUGGCCGGUUAGCAGGCACAACCUUAAAAUCUUCCUUUGAAAGUACUGGAAGGCCAUAUUUACAAAGUUGGGCCUUGGUUUUAGAAAAUAAAUAUCAUAAAAGAAAGUGGUGUUUUAAUGUUUUUGAGUCAAACAUAAUAAAGUCUUCAGAUACUAAUUUGCCCUAAUAAAUGUGCAGAAUGAGCACGGAUCAGCAUUUGCCGAUAACAUUCAUAAACAAGGUUCUCUUGGAGCUACACAUAUGGAGGAAUCACCUGGGUGAAGUGGGGAAAAACAUGGUCAACAUGCAUUUGGGAGGACUAACUGGGAUGUUAAAAAUUAUCCCAUGGGGAGAUAUAAUAAAGGUAUUGAUCACAUUCUAGGACCCGGCUCACAAUGUAUUCCAUUUCUCUGAUUUCGAACUCACACCGACAUUGGGAGAAUCAUUAUCAAAAUUAAUCCGGGAGUAAGAAUCUAUUAUCAAAUCAUCAACUAAAACGAGAAAGACACAUAGUCAAGAACUGUAUCUAAUCUAAAACCUAAGACUAAUGCGACUAAAAUUAUCAAAUGAAAUAUGUAAAAACGGGAAUAGACGUUGAUAUUAAUUAGACUAACUAAAGUAAAAUUUAUAAUUGAAAUAAAAGUUAACCGAAAAACAAUACCAAAUCUAAAUGGAGUUCAUCAAUAUUUCCAAUUAAAGCAAGUGACUAAAACAAAGCGAAUUGUGAACAAAGAAGUAGAAAAAUAAAAAUAAGAAUACAAAAAAUAAUAGCAUAUGGGAUUACUUACUGAUUGAGUCUUCAAUUAGAUAUUGACUGGAUUCGAUUUGAGUCUACGAACAGAUUUACAGGUUUGUUUUUGGCCAAAACUAACAUGCAACUUCAUUUGAAACUCAAGAGGCUUUGAAAAAAUUCAACCUCAAAAUUAGGAUAAAUCCAUAUUUGAAAUUUGAAGAGCCUGGGUUUUAUUCGAAUGAAAUUGGAUUUGUUUUUGGGUAGGGGAGGCCAAGGGGAGUGUGGGAUAUCAAUUUGGAAGCCAUUGGAGCCAGCGCCACCAUGGACAGCGUAGCUGCCGCUCCUUUAAAGGGAUAUUCGAUGCAAUUGGCCGGGCUUUGAGGGGUGAUUUUAGGGGGGUUGGAAAGAGGAGAAGACGGGGAACCUGGGGUGUGAAUUUGGGCGGAUUUGGGGUUUGCCGACGGCGGGCGGUGGAGAUACGGUGGUGGUGGGGUAGUGUUACACCGGAUAAUUUUAGGGUUCUUUGGACAUGGUACGAGGUCUAUAACAGGGGGUGUUAUAUUAGACAUUUAAAUAGUGUGACACCUUCUCAUCUUGACCUUUUGAUCAAGACUGAUCAACGGCUCAGAUUCUUUAAUGUAAAACGACGUCGUUUUGAGCCUGGGGCUUUUGGACCGGGCAGGGCGUUGGGUUUGGGUCAAUUUAGUGGGUCUCGGAGUUUUGGGCAAAAGUUUAUGAUUAAAGUGGCCCAUAUCUUAGUCUUUAAAAGCCAAUAUUAUAUACAAUCAAUUAUUCUUUUUUGUAUAUUUUUAUUUUAUUUUUUUUCAGAUUUUUAAUAACAAAAUAAAAAUAGCCAAAAACAUAUUUAACAUGAAAUAAACUAAAUAAACUCCUACAAUAACCUAGACUCUAAAUUUCAAAGAAAAUUAACCAAUUUUUGUUGUUGUUAAUUUUGUUUUUUCAAUAUUAACUAAUAAAUACAAACGAGCCAUUUUUAUAUUUUUUAUGAAUUAUAUUUAUUAAAACGUGCAACAUGCAAAUAAACAUAAAAUUAUGCAGUUAGUUCCUAAAAUUCAAAAAAACACAAAAUCACGCAAAAUAAAUCCUAAAAAUUCAAAUAAUAAAAGAAAUAUACAAAUAAACACAAAGUCAUACAAUUAAUUCCUAAAAAAUUCAAAUAAUAACAGAAAAAUCCUAAUUUAAUGAAUUUAUAGGAACAUUUCAAGUGAGGCAAAAAUCACGUGCUCAAACUUAUUAUUAUGUUUUUUUUUUCAGUAUGGACAUGACCUUCCUCAUCACUACUCGACCGAGAUUAGGCUUGGCACUUACUGAGUACCGCUGUGGUGUACUCAUGCCCCUUCUGUGCAUGUUUUUCAUGUGCAGAUCCAGGUACCACCACCCAGGCGUAUCGCCCUUGUGUCAGAGAGAUCUAGUAGGGACUUCGAGGUAUAUCUGUCGCGUCCGCAGACAAAGAAGUCUCUCUCUUAUUCUGUGUGGUCACACAUUAAAUGAAAAUAUUAUUAAUACAAUUAUUAAAUAGAUAAGAAUAGUAUUAAAAUAUUAAAUUGGUUUAAAAUCUGUCCACGAGCUCUAGUGGAAAAUCACUUCAAGUCGCAUAUGGUGCAUCAUAAAACCAGUCAAGAGCUUCAGUGAUUAUUUUUGUAGUCUCGUGAAUAGUUAUGAACAUGCAGUAUAGAAACUAUAUUAAAUAAACAAGAAUAGCUAUUAUAAUUUAGUAAAAGCAAAGAAGUAAUAAAUAAUUUUACCCAUUUCCCUCAGGCCUGAUGAUCAUCCUAAGAUAAUGAUCAUAUCACACUACAUUUGGAUCAUCAUCCUCAUGUGUAUCUGAAGCGUGUAUAGAAUGGGUGGCAUCUGGCUCAGAGCUACUAUCUUGAAGGCGAAGUCUAUAAAUGAUAGGAGACGCACUCAGUGGAUAGGGAGAUAGGGUCAUUGAUAAAGAUGGAUGUGAUCUAGACUCCUAUUGUGAUUCAGAACCCUGCUGCAAUUUGGAUGGAUGUAAUCUAGAUGAAUGGAUCCAGAUGGUGGUGAAGCUAAUCGCAUGAUAUAAUCUUGUAUUUUUGUCUCUUAUUACACUCUAAUUCAAUGCACUUUACUUGUGUUUGAGAUUUAAAUUCUAGUAUUUUACACUUUUGUAUAGUUAAUAUAUUGUAGGAGUGAUUCAGAGUUAUAUAGAUGUUAUGAAGCUAAUUCGAGCUGUUUUGAGCUUUAAAGUCUGAUUAAAAGCAUAAGGGAUUAAGCCACGUUCGCAUUUGAUGGUCGAGAACCAUGUUUGGACAUUAAAAAUGAAGCAAAAAGCCAAGAUCUAAGGAUUUUACACAGCCACAAGGGGUGGGGCAGUGCGUGGGAAUCGUGGCUAUGCAUUUUUUGCUUCCUGGAGACUAUUACAUGCUCUAUGAUAACCCCCACAAGGGCCUUGUGUGGCGUGUUUCCCCAUGCAACGCUCUGUGAAAGUUUUCUAGACCGAUUAUCCUAUUUCGGCUAGGAAAAGGUGGUUUCGUCUAGGCCCCGACCCUACUUGAUGUCAAUACAUGAAAAAAAAUUAUUUUCUUGACUUUUGACAUAUUUUAGACCUAAGGAAGCUAGGGAGGAGUUGGAAGAGCAAAAGCACAAAGAUUUCAUCAUUCUUUCUCACUCAAGACUCGAGUUUGGAUUGGAUUUAUGUUUUCCUAUACUUUUAUUAUAUUUGUGAAGAAUUAAUCCAUUUCCAUGGAUUAGUUCUCUUUAGGAUUUGAUGGAUUUGGUGUAUUGAUAUUUAUUUGUGAUUUAUAACUCUAGUUUUAUGUAUUGAAGCAUUUUUGGAUGAUUUAAUUAUUGCAUCUAUAUUCUCUUGUUCAUGUAAUCAACAGAGGGAUAACUUGUAAUAUCUUACAUUAUAUUGUUGGUUGAGUUCAUUAACUCUUUUUAGUAAUCGAAAGAAGCUAGUUAAACCACUGAUUAAACCUAGUUAGGAGGAUAAUCGAGAGAGGUUCUACUAAAGACUAAUCCACUAUGCAUUUUUGCUUAUCUUCACAGAGCUUCAAUUGGUUCAUCUCGUGAGAUUGAGGCUUAAUCAACAAAAGAGUUUCUACAAAACAUUUGAACUAAUAAUUGAGUGAAUUCGAGAGACGCGGUUGAACAUUAGAAGUGAAUUAUCUAGAGUUAGAUCCCAAAGAAUUAUCUUUCAGCUACCCUUUAUAAACCCCAUCUUCUCCCACUGAUAACCUUCUUCGCUUGUUCAUUGUUUUAAUUGUUACUAGUCAGUAGCUUUAGAUUCUUAGUUAAUUUUAGUAUUAAUCAUAUAAAUCUCAAAUACCGAUCAUAUUAGAUAAUAAUCAAGCUAGAAAACACGAGAAUACUAUUUAAUUCUAAUCUAUGUCGAUGCGAUAUUAUAAUAUAUUGCAUUUGAUUAGAGAGCAUAAUUUAAGUAUGUGUUUCAUGCUGGUCAAUUUUUAGCACCGUUGUCAGAGAUUGGCAAUCAAUAGUGUUUGAAAUAGUUUGUAGUGCAAUUUAGAAAUUUUGUUUUUAAAUUGUUUUUUUCCUUUUUACGCUUGGUGUUCAUUGAUUGUGAGCAGGUUUUAGAUUAAGAUUGGUGCAUAACUCGAGCAUCUACAAAAAAAGUGAUACCAUAUGAGGCAUAGAUAGAAAAUCAACUGCGACAGUUGAGGAAGGAGAAAGAUCUCAUCAAGACAUCAGGAAAGGUUGGCCAAUCUUCAACCAAAAGAACUAUGGCUAGAAAUGGUGGUGAUAAUGCAGAUUUGGCUGCAAGAGAGGCAGACCAACAACAAGAAAAAGUUUUCAAGAAUGUUAAGAACCAGCUAUCAGAGAUGCACAUAGUAUCUACAAAGAAGAGAGGGCUCGGAGAGUUUCUCAAAAUCAACCCUUGGCUGUAGACCAGUUUAGAAAUAUAUCUCCGGAGCCUAGGAGAUCACUAGGCGAUUAUGCUAGAUUGGUCUACAAUCAAGGCUUAUCAAAUGUUAAACUAUCUCCAAUUGUAGCUAAAAACUUUGGGUUGAAAAAAGUGUUGCUUCAAACCAUUCACAACUGUUGUAUCUUCGAAGGAAAUAUGAAUGAAGAUCCAAAUACACAUCUAAUAAGAUUGGAGGAGAUUAUGAACACCUUUCAAUACAAUGGUGUGUCACAAGAUGCAGUGUGCUUAAGGGCAUUCCUUUUUUUGCUCAAAUAUGAUGCAAAGUAGUGGCUUCGAAGCUUGCCCACGGGAACGACUAAAACACAGGAUGAGAUGACCAGAAAAUUCCUUGAUAAAUAUUUCUCCUCAGUUAAGAUGGGCAAGUUUAGAAGAGAAAUCCAUAACUUCUGCCAUAAAGAGACUGAAAUAGUUUUUAAAUCAUGGGAGAGGUUUAAGGAGACAUUUUGAAAGUGUCAACAUAGAAAAAUUCAACUUUGGAUGCAACUCCAAGUUAUUGAGAUGGAUUGACAGCGGACUCACCUAGAACAUUGAGCAACGCAGCUGGAGGCACAUUGAUGAAGAAGACUCUAGAAGAGAUAGUUAUAAUUCUUGAUUAGUUAUCUGAAGAGGCAAAUUAGUGGCCCUUUGAGAGUGCUGACAGAAGAAGAUCAACUGGUGUUCACCAAGUUGAUGCUAACACAUCUAUGCAGGUACAGCUUGACGUUAUGGUAAAAGAAAUACGAAAUUUGACCUUAGAUACAAUGGAAAGUGAGCCUUACUCAGCUUGUGAUAUAUGUGGAAGAGGACACCUUACUCAUGAAUGUCAAGCCUAAACUGAGGAAGUUAAUGUAGUGGAAAAUUAUAAUUUUAAUGCAAUGGGUUAAAAGCACCGCAAUAUUUCAUGGAGUUCACCUGGGAGUACUGCAAAUGUAUGGCAACAAAACAACCCUAGAUUUCAGGGACAAGGAGCUUCAGGCUUUAUGAAUCAGUAGAGGCAUUUCAUGCUCAGCAGCCUAGUCUUGAAGAUUUAUAGCGUAGUCUUGAAGAUUUAAUAAAGACCUUCAUUGUGAAAACAAAUGAAAUAUUUAAAGAAUAAGGGGUAGCAAUUCGAAAUAUAGAGAAGUAAGUGGAAUAGAUUGCAACAACAUUAUCUGAGAGAGUUCCAGGAACUCUUCUUGCUGAUACUAAGAGAAAUCCCAAAUAAACAGUGGAUUUUGUAAUCUUGAGAAGUGGGUAAGUGUUGAAAGAUCUCACCACGAUCCAAAAAGAUAUGAUACUUGAAAAUAAAGUGGGAGCAGUUGAAGAAUGAUGCUAAGAAAGGCCAGAUGAAAGCUAAGAAAAAGAAGAAGGGAGGAACAUGAUAUGAGCGAGCAUAUGCCUACAUUUCCCCUAAAAGCUAUAUAGAGAAAAGGUGGACAAGCAGUUUGACAGAUUUCUGGAGAAGGAAAGGUAAUGUCAUUAACCUCUAUGUUAGAGUAAGUAAGUGGGUUGUGAAAAUGUGCGGUGCUUUUGAGUCAUAUCUUGAGGCGAGGAUGUUACGUCAUUGUCCUUAAUCUAUUUUAAAUAUUCAUGGUAUGAUGAGUUGGGGGAGUUGUUGAAAAAGUUCGUGCUUAUAUAAAGUGUAGUUUGAUUGCUCGAGGAUAAGAAAUGGUUUAAGUGUGGGGUAUUGAUGGUUGGCUACAAUCUCGUAUUUAGUCGCUUAUUUCACUCUAAUUCACUACAUUUUACUUGUGUUUGAGCUUAAUUGAUAGUAUUUUUCACUUACAGUGUAUUUUAUGCCUUGUACGGGUGAUUUUGAGUUAUGUAGAUGUUAUGGAGCUAAAUUGCGCUAUUUGGAGCAUUGACGUUUGAGUAAAGCCCAAAGGAUUAAGCCAGAAUGCAUUUAGGGGUCGAGAACAACGUCGGGACAUCAAAAAUCAAGCAAAAAGAAAAGUUCUGAUUAUUUUACACAGCCAUGGCGUGUGAGGCAGCGCAUGAGGCACUGUGGUUGUGCAUUUUUACUGCCUUGUGACUUUUACAUGCACCUUGAUAAUCCCCACAAGGACCCUUUGUGGUGUGUCGCCCCAUUUGACGUGCCUGUGUAAUUUUUCCAGAGCGAUUGUCCAAUUUCGGCAAAGGUAGUUUCUUCUGGGCCCGACCCCACUUGGUAUAAAUAUAUGAAAAGUAUUAUUUUCUGGACUUUUGAUAUAUUUUAGACCAAAGGAAGAUAGCUAGUAGUUGGAAGAGCAAAAACACAAGGAUUUCAUCAUUCCUUCCUCACUCAAGACCCGAGUUUGGAUUGAAUUCAUGUUUUCCUAUACAUUUAUUAUAUUUGUGAUAAAUUACUCCAUGCCUAAGAGUAUUUCUCUGUAGGGUUUGAUGGAUGUGGUGUAUUGAUAUUUGUUUGUAGACUAUAAAUCUAGUUUUUUGUAUUGAAGCAUUUUUGUAUGAUUUAAUUAUUGCAUCUAUAUUCACUUGGUCAUAUAAUUGAGAGAGUCAUAACUUGUUAUAUCUUUGCAUUAUAUUGUUGGUUGAGUUCAUUAGUUCUUGUUAGUAAUCAAAAGAGGCUAGUUGAAUCAUUAAUUAAACCUAGUUAGGAGGAUAAUCGAGAGAGGUUCUCCUAAAGACCAAUCCACAUUCUUGCAUAUCUUCACAGAGCUUAAAUUAGUUCAUCUCGUGAGGUUGAGACUUAAUCGAGAGAGGAGUUUCUAAUAAAAGUUUGUACUAAUAAUUUAGUUAAAUCGAGAGACUCACUUGAACCUUAGAAGUGAAUUAUCUAGAGUUGGAUCCCAGGAAAUUAUCGUGCACCUAUCCUAUCAAAACCAUAUCUUCUCCCACUGAUAACCUUCUUUGCUUGUUAUAUAUUUCGAUUAUCAUUUGACAAUAGCUUUUUAUUAUUAGUUAAUUUUAGUAUUAAUCAUAUAAUUCUCAAUUGUUGAUCAUCUUAAAUAGCAAUCAAGCUAGAAAAUAUGAAAAUAUGGUUUAAUUCAAUUCCCUAUGGAUACGAUAUUAUAUUGUACUAGUAUAUUUUAUUAGCAAGCAUAAUUUAAGUGUAUGUUUUGAUCCCGUCAAAUUUUGGUCCAGCUGGCGGUGAAGCAAAUUGAGCAAAUGACGGGUGUAUCACCAUAUAGUCUUGUAACUGCUGAUAAGGUGAAGCAAUGUCACUAUAUGUAGGAUUAUGUAGAGGAAGAGGGAUAUAACCCUGUGGUGAAGAAUGGUAAGAAUACUGGUACGAGGUGAAUGGCAGGUAGCAUGAUGAUUAUAUGAAUUUGGUGGAACAUAUGCGUGCCUAGAAGAUUGAUGUCGUCCAUCUACAGUAGAAAGAUGCAGGUGUAGAGUAGAAUGAAGCAAGGGUGUAGCUCUCCUCCUAAUCAAUACACCUCUUAUCCUUCCUAGACCUACCCCGGCCCGUACUAGUCAUCUAUAUAAAUUAAAGAAAGUAUUAGAAUUGAGAAUAUAAAUAUAUAUAAGCUAAGAACACUUGAAAAGACUAACAUGCUAGUCAUCUUUGAUGUAUCCUUUCUCGUCCGAAAAUUCUUCCUUUUCACUUAUUUCAUUUUCAUCGGCUGAUUCUUCAUCCUCAUUUUGUAUGUUUGUUAUUUCAUCCAUAUCAACUUCUUCUAAUAUGCGUGAGGAUGCCCCAAAUCAUUUCUAACUGAUUCUCCCACCAUUUGGUUAACACUUGAGGUAUUGUUUGGUUAGCAACAUCUGGCAUAUUCUCAACUUACACCCUACCAACAGGCUUAGUUUUUAUUACAACUAAGCAAUCAAUCCGCAUAAGAUAUAGACCAUAAUACAUUUGCCUAACAUUUUUAGUAAUUAUUAAAGUAUCACAGCGAUCAUACUCCUUCUUUUUAUUAACCUCAAUUAUGUUGUAUUGUAAGUGUACAUUUGUGUCUCUUCUAGGUGCUGGGUCAAACAACUUGCAUCGCAAAAGUAUGAUCUUCUUAUUUGACCAAUCUGAAUAUGAUAAUUCUAGAAUCUCUUUGAUCAUACCAUAAUAAUCAUUAUCCCCAUCCUCGUUGCCUUCACUACCUUUAACACACACCGCAUUAUUAUUGCUUUUUUAUACUUGGAGCGUUCCUCGGUGUGAAAUUUCUAACCAUUCACAAAAUACUUAGACAUAGUUGUAACCGUAGGUGCAGGUCCCCAAGAUAUAUCUUUCAAAAAUUGAUUAACAUCGUUGUUUGGAUUAUUGACCUACAUAUACUAUUUAAAAAUUACUAGUGCACAAGUAUAUUCACAAGUUACUGAGUAUGUAUAUUCACAUCUAAGAAAGUAUGCAAGUUGACUCUUUAAACAACACCUGAAAUGUAGAAUAUGCAACAACAUAGGAAAAUUGACUCACGAAAUCACGAGCGAUACAUUGAAAAUUUUGUUAGUUGCGUCAACCUUAUUAAAUAAUAGACCAUGUAAAUUAAUAUUAUAUCAACACUUACUUAAGAAAGGGUUGAACUUCUGGACAAUUUAGCAAUAUAUGCAUUAAAGCUGAUUUGUACUCCAUACUACUUAGACCUUUUUUUUAUCGGUGCUUAUAACCCCCGCCUAGUUGAUUGAAUAUGGACAUUGGUAGAUAUAAUAGAGCAUUCUUAAUCAAUACAUUGUCCCAAUUGGGCCUACUUCUAGAACAUGUCACAUGACUCUCAAAGUAGUAAGAACAAAAACAGGCAGUUUCCUUUGCAAGAUAGGUUUCAUAUAUACAUCCUUCAAUCAUGUUCCUUUGGCUAACAAUUCGCUUACACUUGCCGAUAAUCUUGCACAGUGUCAUAUUAGACGAUAAUGUUAAAGAAAAUUACAAGAAUGAAUCAAGGCUUGGUCAUUAUAUCUCGAUAGAUACAUCCACCUGCAUUAACCGGCCCUCCAAGUCAUGCAUUGUGUACAAGGUGAAUUAGAAUAUGGUCAUUCACAACAAAGAAAUCACAUGGAAAAAUCCUUUCCAACUUAUUAUUGAUUACAGGAAUGUACAGAUUCAUUUCAAAUAGAUUUUCUUCCCUUAAUGUGGUAGAACAUCAGUCUAUGAAGAACAAACUUAUCUCUGUAUUGAGUUUCUAGAUUAUUUUCAGGCAAACCACAAAAUGAAAUAGGGAUUAAAGUUUUCAUGAAUAUAUGACAGUCAUGACUUUUCAUAUGAGUCAGCUUUGCAUGUUUUCCCAGGUUCAAAGCAUAUCCCUCAAGCAUCAUUAGGUUUGAAUCUAUUGUCUCUGUUCCUAAGUGAAUAUGUAGCUGGCCUUGGGCUUGAAUAUCUUACCAUUUUUCGCUGAAUGCAAAUGUAAUUCUAGUCACUUGCAAUAUUCUUGUAAGUCCAGUCUAGUCUUUGGGUUAUCUUUUGUCUUAUUCUUAGCAUCCAUCACUCUACUGAACAAAUUGUCAAAAACGUUGUCCUCAAUAUGCAUGAUAUCAUGAUUGUGUUGGAGAACAAUACUUUGUUUGUCUAGUUAUGGGUAACAUCAUAUCCACAAAAAUCUAGAAGGUGGAGCCUUGGUAACUUUAGUGAAGCUCUAAACCCUCCAAAAUUUUCUCACCGGAAAAAAUUGGAGGUGGCAAAUCAUAUUCAACUAUAUUCGUUUUUAAUGAAUUCUUCUUCCUUCUGAACUCAUGAUCAACUAGAAAGAACUGACCAUGAAAAUCAAACCAUGACUGCCUUUAGUCAUGUCUUACAGUGAACGUUUUAUCAUUAUCCAUGCAGUAAGGACAAGCUAACUUUCCAGCAGUCAUUCACCCAAACAAUAUUCCAUACGCAGAAAAAUCAUUAAUAGUCCAUAUUUAAUUAGCACACCAAGUUAAAAUUUUGCUUAGCUGAUAUGUCACAUGUCUCAACUCCAUCAUACCACAACUGUUUUAGCUCAUAAAUCAAUGGUUGCAAAUAUACGUCAAUCAAGUUUUUUGGAUUACAGGGAUCCGGGAUAACACAAUUGAAAAAAUAUAUGGACUAGUCAUACAUAUUUUAGGUAAAAGAGUAUACGUCACAAUAAAGAUUGACCAGCAUGAAUAUGGAAUUGCAGAAACACAAAAUAGUGUGAAACCAUCAGCACACAAACCCAGCCGAACAUUCCUCGAUUCACUAGCAAAAUUUGGAUACGUCCUAUCAAAAUGCUUACAAGUUUCCCUAUCUGAAAAAUGAAAGAUAACACCGGGCAGACUUCUAUUUUCAUAGCGACAUCUCAUAUGAGGAGCGAAACUCAUUAGCGUGUACAACCAUUUUAAUCUAGGAAUAAGAGGUAAAUAAUACAUUGACUUCACAAUAACCUUCUUCCCGCUAGAAACCCGCUUAAAAUAUUUUUUUCACAAAACUUACAACUUUCUAAAUGUGCAUCACCUUUAUAAUACGAACAUCUUCACAAUAAACGAUUCUCAUAUACGAGAGUCCUAACUUAGAAACCAAUCUUUUAGCCUAAUAGAAAUCAUCAGGUAUGUUGAAAGUUGGAUUAACUAGUUCACUCAUAAUGCCAAUGAAAGAAUCUAUACCUAUUUGAGAAAUAUUGGUAUCUCAUUUGAUACUUAAUAAUCUAACAACAACAGAUAAUUGAGAGUGUGUAUCCCCUUCACAUAAUGGACGACUGGCGACUAUCCCCUUCACAUAGUGUGACGCCUAGAGACCUCUAACUAUUCAUAAAAAUUUCUUCGUUAGGAGCUUGUUCAACAAAUUCAUAAGGUUCAAACUCGGAGUGUAUCCAAAAUCAUCCGCAACCUUUUCAUGGUAUCUAGGAUGUUGAACGUUGCUCUCCACCGACCUACUGCUAUCACCAACAACUAGGUUGUAAAAUACACAAUCACUAUCAUCAACCUCUCCAGGACUAAUCCCCACAAAAUAAUUAUCCAUAAAUCUCUUUCUAUAAAGAUGAGUCAUGACAUCUCCAAACCCAAAAAAAUCAAACACUUGCACUUCAUACAAGGACACUUAAUCAUCCCUCCAAUCAGAAAUAGUUCAAGUGACAUUACAUGCCUAAUAAAUUCCUUAACCCCUUCUAUAAAUUUCUCCCUUAAAAUCGAUGAUUCGGAUUCUAUUAUACAUCCAACCACAUUAUUCCAUCUACUCAAGAAAAAAUAAAUUACAUGUUAUAUUAAUUGCCCAUUCAAAUUAAUUUAUAUUUUAUGUUACAUAAUAAACUUUACUUACAAAGUAGUUAAUUUAAAUUAUUUGAGUGUAUAUUAAUUUUAAAGUUCUCAUAUAUAUAAUAGGUUUUUUUCCAAAUUUAAUUAGACCAUUAGCGUGCAAUAUAAUUGAAAGACUUGCAAGCUAGCUAACACUAGCAUUAAUCAUAAUUAGACUAACUCAUUCAAUUAUAAUUUGUUAACACAUUCAAUUAGACUAACUUGUUCAAUAAUAAUUUGUUAAGACAUUUAAUUAGACAAACACAAUUAGUCAACCCUAAUUUUUUAAAAGUGAUCACUAAUAGAACAAUAUUAUUAUCCCCUAAAUUAGUAAAUCCUAAAUUUCUGAAAGCAAUAAACACUAAUAAAAUAAUAAAUUAAAUGCUAAAUUUAAGAAUUAAGUAACUUUAAAAAAACUAGGUGACUAACCUUCAGGUGGUGGAAGCAGUAGCGGCUGAAUAAUGGUGAGAAGGGAGGCAAGUGGUGGAAGCAGCGGCGACGGUGGAGCAAUGGUGGUAGAGAAGAAAGUGAGGCAGCGACAGCAAAGAAGUGGAAGCAGUAGCGGUGGCUGGGAUGGGGAUAAGAGGGGUCUUUCAUUUAGGGGGAGAAGAGAGGUAGGAAUCGAUUUUGGGUGGGAUUUGCAUGAAAUCCCUUAGGGUGGAGGAGAGAAUAAGAGAU
rnacentral:lncRNA from 1 species